UGAGGAACAUGACCUUCGGCGGGGGAUAGCCGGCCCAACGGCCGGGUAAUACCGCGUACGACCACAUGGGGACAUCCCUGAGUGGUGAAAGCAGCAAUGCGCCGAUGGAGUGCCUCGCGGCCUAUCAGCUAGUUGGUGAGGUAACGGCUCACCAAGGCAACGACGGGUAGCUGGUCUGAGAGGAUGGCCAGCCACAGUUGGGACUGAGACACAGCUCAGACCUCCG
rnacentral:rRNA from 1 species